rnacentral:rRNA from 1 species
CCUACGGGGGGCAGCAGUGAGGAAUAUUGGUCAAUGGACGAGAGUCUGAACCAGCCAAGUCGCGUGAAGGAUGACUGCCCUCUGGGUUGUAAACUUCUUUUAUAAAGGAAUAAAACGAGGCACGUGUGCCUUUUUGCAUGUACUUUAUGAAUAAGGAUCGGCUAACUCCGUGCCAGCAGCCGCGGUAAUACGGAGGAUCCGAGCGUUAUCCGGAUUUAUUGGGUUUAAAGGGAGCGUAGAUGGGUUGUUAAGUCAGUUGGGAAAGUUUGCGGCUCAACCGUAAAAUUGCAAUUGAUACUGGCAGUCUUGAGUACAGUAGAGGUAGGCGGAAUUCGUGGUGUAGCGGUGAAAUGCGUAGAUAUCACGAAGAACCCCGAUUGCGAAGGCAGCUUACUAAACUGUGACUGACAUUGAUGCUCGAAAGUGUGGGUAUCAAACAGGAUUAGAUACCCUUGUAGUC